rnacentral:rRNA from 1 species
GACGAACGCUGGCGGCGUGCCUAAUACAUGCAAGUAGAACGCACAGUUUAUACCGUAGCUUGCUACACCAUAAACUGUGAGUUGCGAACGGGUGAGUAACUCGUAGGUAACCUGCCUGGUAGCGGGGGAUAACUAUUGGAAACGAUAGCUAAUACCGCAUAAUAUUAAUUAUUGCAUGAUAAUUGAUUGAAAGAUGCAAUUGCAUCACUACCAGAUGGACCUGCGUUGUAUUAGCUAGUAGGUGAGGUAACGGCUCACCUAGGCGACGAUACAUAGCCGACCUGAGAGGGUGAUCGGCCACACUGGGACUGAGACACGGCCCAGACUCCUACGGGAGGCAGCAGUAGGGAAUCUUCGGCAAUGGACGAAAGUCUGACCGAGCAACGCCGCGUGAGUGAAGAAGGUUUUCGGAUCGUAAAGCUCUGUUGUAAGAGAAGAACGGGUGUGAGAGUGGAAAGUUCACACUGUGACGGUAUCUUACCAGAAAGGGACGGCUAACUACGUG